rnacentral:rRNA from 1 species
UACGUAGGGUGCGAGCGUUAAUCGGAAUUACUGGGCGUAAAGCGUGCGCAGGCGGUUUUGCAAGACAGAUGUGAAAUCCCCGGGCUUAACCUGGGAACUGCGUUUGUGACUGCCAGACUAGAGUGUAGCAGAGGGGGGUAGAAUUCCACGUGUAGCAGUGAAAUGCGUAGAGAUGUGGAGGAAUACCGAUGGCGAAGGCAGCCCCCUGGGCUAACACUGACGCUCAUGCACGAAAGCGUGGGGAGCAAACAGG